GACGAACGCUGGCGGCGUGCUUAACACAUGCAAGUCGAACGAGUGGCGAACGGGUGAGUAACACGUGGGUGAUCUGCCUUGCACUUCGGGAUAAGCUUGGGAAACUGGGUCUAAUACCGGAUCGUGCAAGAUGAGCUCGCGUCCUAUCAGCUUGUUGGUGGUGUAAUGGCUACCAAGGCGCGACGGGUGGCCGGCCUGGGAGGGUGUACGGCUAAAUUGGGACUGCGAUGCAGGCCGUACGCCGACGUGAGGCAGCAGUGGGGAAUAUUGCACAAUGGGCGGAGUGCUGGUGCAGGGACGCCGCUUGGGUGAUGUGGGCCUUCGGGUUGUAAUCUCCUUUCGACAGUGAUGCGGUAGGUGUAGAAGAAGCACCGUCUAACUACGUGCCAGCAGCCGCGGUAAUAC
rnacentral:rRNA from 1 species